UGUAUGGUCAUGGCUAACACUUUUCUUGUAGAGCAAACCGUUUAUGUUCUUUUAUUAAUUAAUUAAUUUUCUAAGGUUCAAUCUGGAAGGUUGAGCUUUUCAGAAUUGAAAUUAUGUAAGGUGAACAAUUUGUUAGAAUGAUAGAAGAUGUAUAGGGCACAAGUAAAUGUCUACAACAAGUGAUUUGUCAAGCGGUCAUCCGUUAUGUAAGUGUGGAAUUCCUGCACGUCUAAGGUACUCUUGGACCACAUCCAAUCCCGCUAAAAAGUGGUAUGGAUGUAAUAACUACAAGAAAGCCGAUGAUUGUGAUUUUUUUGAAUGGGCUGAUAAGAAGAUGUCUGCAUACGAGAAGGGAUUAGCGCAAUAUCUGAAGGAGACGGAGGAGAGAAGACAGGCUGACAAUGACAAAGUUGAGGAAUUAAUUGAAAAAAAAAUGCAAGGAACAAUUAGCGCAACAUUUGAAAGAAAUGGAGGAGAAAGUUGAGGAAUUGAUUGAAAAAAAAUGUAAUGAACAAUUAGCGCAACGUAACGAGAAGAUGAUUCGUGUUUUGUUGUUAGUUGUCAUUUUGCUGUUAGCCUUUUAUUUUUGUAGUUAUAGUGAACCUAGACCUACCAACU